rnacentral:rRNA from 1 species
GUAACGAUGACACCAGCGAUUAGUCGGUGUUAAUAUACGACCCGACUAGCAGCUUCCGGGAAACCAAAGUUUUUCGUUUCCGGGGGAAGUAUGGUUGCAAAGCUGAAACUUAAGGGAAUUGACGGAAGGGCACCACCAGGAGUGGAGCCUGCGGCUUAAUUUGACUCAACACGGGAAAACUCACCCGGCCCGGACACCGUAAGGAUUGACAGACUGAGAGCUCUUUCUUAAUUCGGUGGGUGGUGGUGCAUGGCCGUUCUUAGUUGGUGGAGCGAUUUGUCUGGUUAAUUCCGAUAACGAACGAGACUCUGGCCUAUUAAAUAGUCGGUAUAUCCAGAAAAGUUUACCGUACUUCUUAGAGGGACAAACGGCGUCUAGCCGCGUGAAAUAGAGCAAUAACAGGUUUGUGAUGCCCUUAGAUGUCCGGGGCUGCACGCGCGCUACACUGAAAGAAUCAGUAUGCGCUUUAACCUAGUCCGGAAGGAUUGGGUAACCCGAGCAAAUUCUUUCGUGCUUGGGAUAGGGAAUUGCAAUUAUUUCCCUUAAACGAGGAAUUCCCAGUAAAUGCGGGUCAUAAGCUCGCGUUGAUUACGUCCCUGCCCUUUGU